GCAGAAUCUAAUUAACCACCAAUGGGCGCGCGGAGAGUGUACAGGUCCUGUUUCUAGRUCGGUUCAGGCUCUUCCUGUCCUCCUUCCUCCUGUCUGCCAGCUGUUUGGCCCACUUCAACAGCUAAAGAGCGUGUGCACUGUGUGGGUCGGAGUUUCUGUCUUGUACAGUACCAAGCAUUAGUCACCCAGGUUGGUGGAUGAAGAGAACAAGUAGCACAGCAUCCUGAUUUUCAUCGCAAAGGCCUGGAAACAGCCAGCUGUUUGUACACAUUCCAUACUGAGUUACCUUCUGCAACAGGUCUUUAAAGUUUAUGAAGCCACGUUUAACACCACAGUCCUCCACCUUCCACUGUCCUGUCAUCUUUCUGGCACUGCCUACCAUGAUCACAC